UCAUCAUCCUCUCCACCUUCCUCCCAGUCUUCUCUCUAUAUUUCUCUAUCAUCUGGGAUUGUUGUGAUUUUCCUGCUGGUUCUGCUGGUUCUGCUGGUUCUACUGGUGAAGAGACGUCGUCACAAAACAAAAGCUGAUAAAGGAGACGAUGUGACAUACAGCGACGUCCAGAUAACUCAUCUUCAUCAGCAGAGACCCAAAGAAAGUCCUUCAUCUGCCAUCUACUCAGACGUGAGGACAGACGGGAUCAGUUAUGGACAGAUCAACAUCAGAACCAACAGAACCAGAGAAGUUCAACCAGAUACAAACAUCAUCUACUCUUCACUGAGGUAGUCCACCAGUCUGACCUCUGACCUCCAGCUGCUGCUUCACCUCUUUGCUUCACAUUUAGUUGUUUAGUUGCUUUAACCCGACAUCUUCUGACUUUAACAUCGUUUCUGUCUGGAUGUUUGAUCAAAUGUUUCCUUCUCACAGUUUGUUCUGCAGUGAAAUAUUAAAGUUUCAUUUGGUCUCGACUGUUUUUA